CAGUCGCCGCGGUAAUACGUAGGGUGCGAGCGUUAAUCGGAAUUACUGGGCGUAAAGCGUGCGCAGGCGGUUAUAUAAGACAGAUGUGAAAUCCCCGGGCUCAACCUGGGACCUGCAUUUGUGACUGUAUAGCUAGAGUACGGUAGAGGGGGAUGGAAUUCCGCGUGUAGCAGUGAAAUGCGUAGAUAUGCGGAGGAACACCGAUGGCGAAGGCAAUCCCCUGGACCUGUACUGACGCUCAUGCACGAAAGCGUGGGGAGCAAACAGGAUUAGAGACCCCCGUAGUCCCUGUCUCUUAUAC
rnacentral:rRNA from 1 species